rnacentral:rRNA from 1 species
UACGAAGGUCCCAAGCGUUAUCCGGAUUCACUGGGUUUAAAGGGUGCGUAGGUGGGUUGGUAAGUCAGUGGUGAAAUCUCCGAGCUUAACUUGGAAACUGCCAUUGAUACUAUCAAUCUUGAAUAUUGUGGAGGUCAGCGGAAUAUGUCAUGUAGCGGUGAAAUGCUUAGAUAUGACAUAGAACACCAAUUGCGAAGGCAGCUGGCUACGCAUAUAUUGACACUGAGGCACGAAAGCGUGGGGAUCAAACAGG